UUAAAUUAUCUCCUUUCUAAUCUUAGUCCAUACUGUGUCAAUAACAGGAAGAGUUCAAGCACAUAAACAAUGGGUAUGUGCUAAAAAGGAAAGGACAAGAAACGUUACUUGUCUGUGUUUGACUAGUUUUACACAUAGCUCAAUAUUAUUUUCCUCAAUAAAUAUAAAAAUGCUUUAUGUUCCCGUGAAUGCACAUUUGUAAUAAGACAGGAUUAACUCCGUAUUGGAUUGUUACUCAUCAUCCUCAUCUCUAAGUGUAAUACAAAGUUGAGGUGUUAAAAAUAUCUGAGCAUGGUUUUCUUUCCAUUUCUCAGGCAAUUAUUUUAGUUCUCAAAUACCCUCUUCUGUGGCAUCUUAGAAUAACUCUUAUUCAGAAUAACUCUUUAAAAAUAUGUUAACAUUAAGAAUUCAAUUGGGGUAGAAGACAAAAAAGUCAAUCCAAAGGCGCUUAUGCUUUAUUUUAUACCUCAUUUUUUUUUUUUAAUGAUGGUUUGGGAGCACCAGUCUUACAUGUAAAGAAUAUAUAAUUUGAUUCCUGCAAGACUCAAGAAAAAUGUGUAAUAAACUAGAAUCGAUACAAUACAGAUUUUUUUUGAACUCAUAUAAUCUGGGAUUUCUUGGAACACAUUGCCCUUAUCCUACCUAUUUGUGUGUACUUCUACGAACUGGAAAGUUCCCAUUUUCAGAUGGUUUCUCUUUUGCUCCCAUGAUGGUUUCCAGCAGCAAUGCAUCUCAACUAUGUCCUGCCAGCAACCAUAGUACUAAGAGAGAGCAACUCUCUUAGUGGUGAGUCUCUUAAAGUCCUGCAUUGUAAUUGGUUUGUUGUAGAGAUGGUUGCAUGACCCACUGGUGGUCUAGACAAUAUGAUGUCCUUAUUGGACUGGCCUAACUCAAAUGGAAUUGUAGGUAUGAUUGGCCCAUCUGUGAAGCAAAUGGGUAGAGAUUUUAUCUAAGAGAAAUCAAGGUACAGAAAUUAAACGAUGAGGAAAUAAAUGCUUGGCAGUUAAAGUCCUCUUCUACAAGUUCUGCUAUUUUGAAAAAUGAAAAAUGUUGGGAGUUGAUGUAAAUAUGGAUUCUCCUGUGUUUAUUUAAAAAAAUUAAUUUUCUCAUCAACUACUGAUCUCACAUUAUGAAAUGGAAGCAAGUGUGUUAUGAGGAGAAAAUUGCUAACUGAGCUCAGAAGUACAAGAACAAAUCACUAGUUUUAUUUUUACCAUUGAACUGGACCAAAUACUUUGAGUAGUCCAAAGAGGUUGGCCAGGUCAUUUCUAGGUCUCUUCCACCUCUUUGACUUGGUAAUUCAUAAACACCAUCAGUGACUAAUUAUAAUGUAUGUCUGAAGGGGUUUAAACAAGAUGGGUGGCCUCAGACUAACAAAAAGAGUGACGUCAUGUGAUCCCAAUAGUUGAGGAAGAAAACCUUAUUAUUUUUGGGAGGAUUCCAGAGUUCAUGUGCUGUUCCAAGGGCUUGCAUUUUUUAUUCAUAUUUUCCUUAUAAUUUGUGUAAUUACUCAACAAUUUUAAACACCAUGCAAAAUAGGCACUGCAAGAUUGCAUUUUUAUUUUAGCCUGCCUAGCUGUUGCAUACCUAAAGAAAAAUAAAUAAAAACUCUGAAAGGCAGCCAACUCAAAUAUUGCACACCUGGCUCCCAUUUGUUAUAAGAUUAUCAUUGAAAACAAAGAUUCUUGACUUUUACAGCCCUCAAAACUGUGGCCUCCUCAGCAACACUCCCCAAUUUAACCUGAUAGAAACUUAACCAAGAACAAAAGAAACCCCCCUAGAAGAUUCAGGUUAUGAUCUCCAUAUUAACAUCUCCCUCUCCUGGCCCCUGAACUCAAUGACAGCAUUUAAAACAAAAGUAUAAAAAAAAGGAAAUAUGACAGCAAGAAACAUGUUGGGUUACUUCCAUCCUCCCACCCACGUGUAAUGAUAAAACUAAAAUAUGACAAAAACAUUUUCCUUUGGCAGGAGAGUUUUGCUUUUCUUUUGGAGAUACAAGUCCCUAUAAAAGAAAAAAAAAAUUUCUCUCUUGAGUUCUUUCAGUUUUAAAAAGGUUUAAGUUUCUUAAAUAUGCAAUUGGAUUAGAAAUCAUGAAGAAAAACACAAUAGAACAGACUGCCAGAAGUGCUGCCUGCUGCCUAGGUGUGUCUACAUUUAACUUCCCAUUUUGCUCCAGCUCCAAAUUAUAAUUUUUAAUUACAGUAGGCUUGCCAGGUUCAUUGGGUCUGUGAGAAAAGUAAACACAGAAAAUAGAAUUCUAAAUGUAGAAGACUUCAAGAUUAUUAAGACCAAUCUCUGGCUCUAAGUUUGACUGUUCCUCAAGUAUCCCAGAUAUUGAGCAGUUUGCCAUCUUUUCUCUCCUUUUCUUUUCUUAAAGAUUUAAAUGAAUAUAUUUGAAUAAUAACCUUGUCUCAUUUAAAAUCAUCUACAUAUCUGAAAAUCUUUACAAAAAGGAAAUUCCAUGUUAGAAUUAAUGUUCAACUAUUGUGUCUUUUUAAAGCCAACUGAAAUAUAAAUCUCAUUAUAUAUGAAGAACAAUAUUCUGUCCUUUUAUUAUAUAUGAACUGUGCAGUUAUAUUUGGGUGCUAUUUCUCGAAUUGAAAACAACACCACUCCACUGAGACAAGCCUCUUGGUCAUCUGUCAAAUCUAAUCAGCAUAGAUAUAGGAUAGAUACUACUUUCUUUUUCUUUUCUCUCAGGGAUUCUGGAUACAUUGUACCUGAGUUCCUUUACUUUAGUAUAAGCAAGAAUUGUUGUCAACAACUGUGAGUAGUUUUAUCAUGAUACAGGGAGAGAUGAGGGAAUUGUGGGUCUAAGAAUUCCAAGAAGUUGAUUAUAGAAAGACAGUGGGAAAUAUGGAGAAAUUCCAGCACAAUGCAAAUGAGGAACUAGAAACAUGGAGAAGUAGAUGUAGAGGUGUCUGGUAUGGGAGUUGACCAUGGAGGCAAGGCUGAAGUUUAUUGUGAAUAGAUAUGAUGCCUCAUCACUAUUAGAACCUAAAUUUGCAUGGACAAGUAUGUGAAGAGCAGAUAACCGUUUCAGUCUAGGUCAGCACAAAAGUUGACAAUCUCCUGGUAGUAAAUUAAAAUGCAGUAGUAGAACACAAAAGCUCAGUAACAAAUCCUGGACAGAGGUGAGAUUGGGGGUAGAAUAUUUCUUAUGUGUUAUAUCACCUCUCCGAUUUCUCAACACACCACCUGCCCAGGUUGAUAAUUUCAUUCUCUUCUCUUCCUAUGACAAUAAUAAACUGAAAUACUCUUCAAGAUUCAAGAAGACUUCCUUGAACUCAGGGACAGGAACUCUUGGUUAGUUAUCAUUUGUGAACUCCAAAGUAGACUAUUUUCAAGAACAACUAUAUCUUUAAAAGAUCUUCAUAUUGUGGCUUUAAAUUAACAGUGUUGGAAAAUACGAAACCAAAAUAAGGAAAUUCCUCUUUAAGAAAGUAAAUUUGCAAUUUAUUUAAAAAUUUGAAUGCCAAUCUUGCUGAAAGCAAAAUAAAGGGUAUAUUCUCAAUCAUUACUCAUUUAGUGCAAAAUAUCUGGAUGACAAAUUGUCAAUAUGCACAGUUUUAAAGGUAAAAAUAUUGACAUAAAAUUAUUGUCAUUAAUAUGGACACUAUUACUUCUUAGGAAUUAAGAAUUGAAGAUAAAAAAUUUAAAAAGUUGGGAGUUCCCGUCAUGGCGCAGUAGUUAAUGAAUCCGACUAGGAACCAUGAGGUUGCGGGUUUGGUCCCUGCCCUUGCUCAGUGGGUUAAGGAUCCAGUGUUGCAGUGAGCUGUGGUGUAGGUUGCAGAUGCAGCUCGGAUCCUGCGUUGCUGUGGCUCUGGCGUAGGCCGGUGGCUACAGCUCCGAUUCGACCCCUAGCCUGGGAACCUCCACGUGCCG
rnacentral:lncRNA from 1 species